UAUAACUGAAACUCUGUAGUAUUUGUUUAGUAGGGUUUCUUGUUUCUGCAGGAGAUCCUCA
rnacentral:snRNA from 1 species